rnacentral:rRNA from 1 species
UACGAAGGGGGCUAGCGUUGCUCGGAAUCACUGGGCGUAAAGCGCACGUAGGCGGCUUUCUAAGUCAGGGGUGAAAUCCUGGAGCUCAACUCCAGAACUGCCUUUGAUACUGCAAAUCUCGAGUCCGGAAGAGGUGAGUGGAAUUCCUAGUGUAGAGGUGAAAUUCGUAGAUAUUAGGAAGAACACCAGUGGCGAAGGCGGCUCACUGGUCCGGUACUGACGCUGAGACGCGAAAGCGUGGGGAGCGAACAGG